rnacentral:rRNA from 1 species
UGUGGUUACAAUAGCAGAGAGGAUACACCUGUUCCCAUUCCGAACACAGAAGUUAAGCUCUCUAGCGCUGAUGGUACUUGGUGGGAAA